AGAACGAACGCUGGCGGCAUGCCUAACACAUGCAAGUCGAACGCCUGUAGCAAUACAGGAGUGGCGCACGGGUGAGUAACGCGUGGGAACCUACCCUGGAGUGGGGGAUAACCGAGAGAAAUUUCGGCUAAUACCGCAUACGACCUGAGGGUGAAAGAUUUAUCGCUCUAGGAGGGGCCCGCGUCGGAUUAGCUAGUUGGUGGGGUAACGGCCUACCAAGGCAACGAUCCGUAGCUGGUCUGAGAGGAUGAUCAGCCACACUGGGACUGAGACACGGCCCAGACUCCUACGGGAGGCAGCAGUGGGGAAUAUUGGACAAUGGGGGCAACCCUGAUCCAGCAAUGCCGCGUGAGUGAUGAAGGCCUUAGGGUUGUAAAGCUCUUUCGGCGGGGACGAUGAUGACGGUACCCGCAGAAGAAGCCCGGCUAACUUCGCGCCAGCAGCCGC
rnacentral:rRNA from 1 species